UUUGUAAGAGCAAAGGAAAGAGUAAAGAGCCUGCCCUUGUGGAUCCUGGUGCCUAUUAUUAAGUUUAGCAUCUAGAGACAACGUUCAAAGGAUUGUUUUAGUGUGUGUGUGUGUGUGUGUGUGUGUGUGUGUGUGUGAAUGUGCAUGUGCCUCAUGGCACAUAGGUGGAGGUCAGAGAACAAUAUGUGGGAGUCAGUUCUCCCCUCUACCACAUGGUUUCUGGAGAGGUAAAUCUCUUUACCACUAAGCAGUCUCUUAAGCCUGAGACAACGUUUAGUGUCAAAAAUACAAAUGUAUCGUGUCUAUAAAUAUAUUAAGUAUCAGAAAGCAUUUCAGUUAGCAUAUUAGAAAUUUUAAGAGUUGUUUGUGGUCCUCAAGUGCAGACUCAUUAGAUCAGGGGUUAGUAUGCUGAAGCCCCAGAGGGAAGGAACUCAUUUGGACUCAUUGGUUGUCUCUUGUAGAGCUGGACCAGAACUCAGUUCAUGGCAGUUCCCAGCCCAGUCAGCCUCCUUCAUACACAAGAAGGCCUGUAGGAAAAGGUCUCCUAAAAACCCAGAACAGAAGAUCAUAAAGAGAGUGAUUGCUCUUGAAGGAGACAUUGUCAAAACCAUUGGACACAAAAACCGUUUGGUCAAAGUCCCCCGUGGUCACAUGUGGGUUGAAGGCGAUCACCAUGGACACAGUUUCGAUAGUAAUGCUUUUGGGCCGUUUAAUUUUUAGGUGUGUGAUCACAGUGUCAUCUUGUGAACAAUUUCUGUGCAGAGACCAUGAAGCAGAAUGGAACAAUUUGGAUGCAGAAAUUAUUAUGAUAUAGUGUCUCUACCUGAGAAGAGAAACUACAAGUUAUGUGAAAUAUGAAUUCUCUUUUGCUCCAAGUCAUUUGGAAAAGAACCAAUCCAAACUCUUAUUUCAUUGCUACAUAAUUAAACAAAGCACUGGUUCCCCUAGAACAUUUUUAAAGGAACUGUGCCUAAUAGGUGAUGAUAAUUUUCACAGUAAGUGAACACUAGAAAUAUUCUUGAUUAAAAAAAAAUGCCUGUUAGUACAAGGGAGAUGAUAUAUAAGAAAGUAAGGCAAAUCACAAUUCAAAUUCCAUAUGAUACCCUUUUUAAGUCAUUGAAAUUCAAAGAAGUUUUUCACUUUCAAAAUUAAAAGAAAAAUCAAGUUCAUAUUUCCAUAUUAUACAAAGCCUGUCAUUUAUGCCUUGUAACACAUUGUUUAGCGUCUUCUAUUUUUAAAUAUUCUUUUUAACCUGUGGAUUCUCUCAGUAGAAUAGGUCAAGAGAAACAAAUUUUAUAGUAGGGAGAUCUAGGUAACGUGUGGGAAGUGGACAUCCUUGCAAGUUAGCAGGUUAUACCCGCUUUAAAUUGUCCCCAUGUUAUGUAAUUUGGGUUUUUAAUGACUAUGUAGACUAUGUGAUCAAGGUAAUCAGAAUGACGUCCCAGCAGUUGGAGUAAGGAUGGAAGGCAGUUUUGUAAUUAUGGAGACAAUAUAUCAAAGAAGGAAUUGGGAUGAAGUUUGGAAAAAUGUUUAAAACUUUCAGACAUUUUUAAGAGCAGAGAUUCAAAUCAUGGCUAACAGGGAACAUGCUGAGUUUGUCUUUUGUCACUGUCAUCAAGUGUGAGUAGAACUAUGAUAUCAGAAGGGUCAGGAAGAAAGGGCAACAGAUGCUACCAUUGCCAAGAUACAUCCCUGACUUUCAGGAAAGAGGGGAUCAAAGGGCAGGCAUGAUCCGACAGUAACCAAAGUUGGGGGCAAGGCAUGCAUCUCAGAAAAGCAAUGCAUUUAUUUACAACAACCCCAUAACAACCUGUGAAAUCUCCUACAAGACUUGGAUUGAAUAGAAUUUUCUGAAAUCAGUAUGAGUGUUAACUAUUGGUAAAAUCUUGCAUUGCAUAAGGCUUUGAAGGUGUUCUAUGUCUUGUGAAUGAAGUGAUUUAUACCUGGAGUGGUCAAUAGCUCCCAAUUGUGCUGAAAAUAUUUUGCUUAUACAAUACAGAAUAAUAUUGUGGACUUUCUUAGAAGAAUGAAUUGACAUUUUAUUUUUCAUUGAAGUGUCACAUUUUCCUAUGUAACUUCUCUGAAGCUGUGAGAGUAGCUUUUAUUUGCAAUCAGCCACUUUUAAAUAAAGAAAAAGACCAUUAGAAUAUGUUGGCAGGGCCCACGUAAAGUGCUUUAUUCACACAUCCAAAGAAUAGCUCUUAGGCUUUAGUGGGCUGUAUUUUGUUCUUGUUUUGUAAUACAUACUUGUUUGCUAAAAACAUUUGUUUGCAAUAAAAAUAUAUUCUAUGUUUGUAGAAUAAAUAGUGAUAUCUUUAAAUCAUAAGACCCCCCCCCACUUGUGGUUUCCAUGUCAUUCUUCCCAUAGUUCCCUUUCAAGUAUUGGAAGCUAGCAACCCUGUGUAUUUUUCAGAGGUGAUUUUUAUUGGACUGAUGUUCUCAAAGGCAUGCAUUUCACGAAAACAUAAAAAUCAAUUAAAGGAAAUGCCAUUAUAAGGGGAAUAAAUUAAAGGAAAUGCCAUUAUAAUGAGAAUAUGUGUAUGAACAAAGAUAGCUAAGUCUCAGAACAUAGCCAGCCCACUUCUGGGGUAGUGUUCAAAAUCAAGUAAUCCCCAUGUAGCAACAAGAAAAAGAACAUCUCUCAGGAUUUGUUUGUGUGUGGGUAAGAUACUUUUUUGAUAUAAUUAUAGCAUCAUAAAUGGCUUUUAAUGAGAGCAUAGACACAAAAUAUAGAACUAAAAUAGAGUGUGUCUCUCUCCCAAGAACAAGAGCAAUCUAGACUUCUUUUUCUAAUGAAUCAAAUUUUAUGAUUUAUCUUACUUAUUCUGCUAUUACAGAAAUAAUUUUCCACAUGAUUUCAUUUUCAGAUAGGAGAAUGUCUGCAAAGUUGUUAGACUCCACCCCUGUGGCAGACAGUGUACUUCUUUCUGGACUGUUCUGUUACAGGAUUAAGCAUGUUUCUUUUUAUAAGGACUGUAUAUUUACUGACAAUAGGUCAAGAGUCAAGAUUUGGU
rnacentral:lncRNA from 1 species